rnacentral:rRNA from 1 species
UACGUAGGGUGCGAGCGUUGUCCGGAAUUAUUGGGCUUAAAGAGCUCGUAGGCGGUUUGUCACGUCUGCUGUGAAAUCCCGAGGCUCAACCUCGGGCCUGCAGUGGGUACGGGCAGACUGGAGUGCGGUAGGGGAGAAUGGAAUUCCUGGUGUAGCGGUGAAAUGCGCAGAUAUCAGGAGGAACACCAGCGGCGAAGGCGGCGCUCUGGGCCGGAACUGACGCUGAGGAGCGAAAGCGUGGGUAGCAAACAGG